rnacentral:rRNA from 1 species
GACGAACGCUGGCGGCGUGCUUAACACAUGCAAGUCGAACGGUGAAGCGCCUUCCUUUUUGGUGGGUGUGGAUGAGUGGCGAACGGGUGAGUAACACGUGAGUAACCUGCCCCCUUCUUCUGGAUAACCGCAUGAAAGUGUGGCUAAUACGGGAUAUUCUGGGUCUGUCGCAUGAUGGGUCUGGGAAAGAUAUUGUUUCGGUGGGGGAUGGGCUCGCGGCCUAUCAGCUUGUUGGUGGGGUGAUGGCCUACCAAGGCGGUGACGGGUAGCCGGCCUGAGAGGGUGGACGGUCACACUGGGGCUGAGACACGGACCAGACUCCUACGGGAGGCAGCAGUGGGGAAUAUUGCACAAUGGGAGCAAGCCUGAUGCAGCGACGCCGCGUGAGGGAUGGAGGCCUUCGGGUUGUGAACCUCUUUCGCCAGUGAAGCAGGCCUGCCUCGUUUGUGGGUGGGUUGACGGUAGCUGGAUAAGAAGCGCCGGCUAACUACGUG